rnacentral:rRNA from 1 species
GACGAACGCUGGCGGCGUGCUUAACACAUGCAAGUCGAACGAUGAACUUGGAGCUUGCUCUGGGGGAUUAGUGGCGAACGGGUGAGUAACACGUGAGUAACCUGCCCUGGACUCUGGGAUAACUUCGAGAAAUCGGAGCUAAUACCGGAUAGGACCUUGCACCGCAUGGUGUGGGGUGGAAAGUUUUUCGGUUUGGGAUGGACUCGCGGCCUAUCAGCUUGUUGGUGAGGUAAUGGCUCACCAAGGCGUCGACGGGGAGCCGGCCUGAGAGGGUGACCGGACACACUGGGACUGAGACACGGCCCAGACUCCUCCGGGAGGCAGCAGUGGGGAAUAUUGCACAAUGGGCGCAAGCCUGAUGCAGCAACGCCGCGUGCGGGAUGACGGCCUUCGGGUUGUAAACCGCUUUUAGUAAGGAAGAAGCCGCAAGGUGACGGUACUUGCAGAAAAAGGACCGGCUAACUACGUGCCAGCCGCCGCAGUAAUAC